GAACUUAUUUGCUGGAAGAACUUGGAACAAUCUGAAGAAUGUGAGCUAGAGAAGUCCUACGAUGCUAUACGACCUGCUGGAGCUCAUGAAGGGAUUGGUCCUGUGGAAUAACACCAGCAGGAUCUCCAUGACUUGGGGUGGCUGUGGGAUAUCCCCGAGGAGUUCCGGUGAGGAUCCAGCGAUGAUGGUGUACCAGAAACCAGAGGUCUUGAACCAGACCAGUGACUCACUGCAAUGAACAUUUGCUAGUAAAGUUGGUUGGAGAAAAGAGUAUACUGUGUGACACACCACGGCUCCCAGUGCCACCAGGGGGAAUGAAGAGCUCUUGGAGAGGCGGGAAAGGAGAAAUGAAGAGGCUGUGGAGUCUUCAGGAGGUGAUUCCUUGCUGGUGGAAGCUGAUCACGAGGGGCAAGCCUUGGAAGGUUCCAGUCUGGCCCUGUGUUUCUCUCUGCUUCCUGGACUGCUGCUCCACAGGCUUUGUAUACUGAGAUGCUUUGGCAAUGCCUUGACCAUGGUGGGCUGAGAUCCCUGACACCAUAAGUCCAAACAAGUCUUUCCUCAGGGAAGCUGUUCCUGUCAAUAUUUUGACACAGAAGUGGAGAGAGCCCUGCUCCAAGUGUCCCUGAGUCUACCCUAAACUGGCACAUGGACUCUGCCUCUGCUUGGAUUGAUGACUUCUUUUAUCCAAGAUUGAGACACCAGUUGGGACAAUUUUUUGCCAACUUGAUACAAGCCAUCUUCGAAGAGGGAACCUCAACUGAAAAGAUACCUUCAUCAGAUCAGCUUUGCAGGCAAAUCUGUGGAGGCAUUUUCUUGAUUAAUAGUUGAUGUGGGAUAGUCAAACCCAUGAUGGGCAGUGCCACCUCUGGGAAGGUGGUCCUGGAUGGUAUAUGCUAAGUAACUGAGCAAGCCAGUAAGCAGCACUCCUCCAUGGCCUCUGCUUCAGCUCCUGCCUCCAGGUUCCUGCCUUGAGUUCCUGCCCUGACUUCCCUUCUUG